CCGAAGCUGCGGCAGCGACACUCAGGUGUUGUUGGGUAGGGGAGCGUUCUGUAAGCCUGCGAAGGUGGCCUGUGAGGGUUGCUGGAGGUAUCAGAAGUGCGAAUGCUGACAUAAGUAACGAUAAAGCGGGUGAAAAGCCCGCUCGCCGGAAGACCAAGGGUUCCUGUCCAACGUUAAUCGGGGCAGGGUGAGUCGACCCCUAAGGCGAGGCCGAAAGGCGUAGUCGAUGGGAAACGGGUUAAUAUUCCCGUACUUGGUGUUACUGCGAAGGGGGGACGGAGAAGGCUAUGUUGGCCGGGCGACGGUUGUCCCGGUUUAAGCGUGUAGGUGUGUGUUCCAGGUAAAUCCGGUU
rnacentral:rRNA from 1 species